rnacentral:rRNA from 1 species
UACGUAGGGGCCUAGCGUUGUCCGGAAUCAUUGGGCGUAAAGCGCGUGUAGGCGGUCCGGUAAGUCCGCUGUGAAAGUCGAGGGCUCAACCCUCGAAUGCCGGUGGAUACUGUCGGGCUUGAGUACGGGAGAGGCGAGUGGAAUUCCUGGUGUAGCGGUGAAAUGCGCAGAUAUCAGGAGGAACACCGGUGGCGAAGGCGGAUCUCUGGGCCAUUACUGACGCUGAGGAGCGAAAGCGUGGGGAGCGAACAGG